rnacentral:lncRNA from 1 species
CCUGCACUUGGAAGAAGUAGAAGGUGACGGAUGUACGCUCGCCUCGCCAAUGCUGCUUUUACCAAGGGAUGCACUCCUGCUGGAGAAGGUCAUAAACGUCAAGAGCAGUGGAAGACACCAAUCGAAAUCUCUCGUGGCAUGACUGGUUCUACCCUAGAUGCAAUCUUUCUGGUAAAGUCUCACCACAAGCUGCUCAAUAGGGAGAUUGUUGGUGCUAGAACGGAUUUUCCAUGAGAAGCCAUCCGAAAAGUGAAGGUUCGGAUUAGAGUUUCUCUUUUUGAUUGGGAAGCAACUUGGGAACGAAUCCUCGCUUCAGAUAACCUAAAACAAAGAGGCCAAAACGCUGGUCAUCAGGCGUUUCCUCUGGAAGGAGGCAGAAUCCCUGCAGCAUCUCCUUCACCGUUCAUGGACAUUGCAUGUUUUUAUUGAGCGCAAAAACUCUCCAUAAACACACAGUUGUAUGACCAAAAAGCAAAAAAGAACUCACAGUUGCAGUUCCUUUUAUGAGUAAGUUUAUCGUGACAAGACAGUGCCUCUACAGCCUAAAGUCAAGAUCUAAGAAAUUCAAGAGAAAUUUUGGAUCCAAAGGGAUACUAACACAUUCCCAAAACAGAACAAUAGUAUGGAUACAAAGACUAGCAUACAAAACUCGUCCGUGGUAAAAUCCAAGUAUUUAGGCAAGUAGAUCACGGACACCUGAUACAGAUCUAUAUUGCAUGUGACUUAGUAAACCAUUUUCAUUUUACUAGGACUGAACAUCUUUAACAUUACUCUGCCAAAAAAUGGUCAUUAGCUUAAAAGAUGGCGCUCUAAUUGGAAAAAUAGUUGGUAAAAAAAAUAUAAAUUAACGAAUUCCCACAUCUAAGUACGUUAACAAAUUGUGCGAACAGAAGCUCUCAUAACCAAGGUUAAGCAUCACAGGGGAGAUCAAUGUUGGCUCAAUUCAGUAUGAUCUGAGCAUCUGCCAGUUAUUUUAUCUGUUUAACAUCAGGAUGCUCUGAAAGAUAAGGUGUGUCUCAAGAUGUGCAAAGCAUAACUUACCAUGACUGUUCUGUGUGAUACUUAAACUCAAUCAUUUAUCAGAGAGAAAGGCCAAAUGCAAAGGUAAUAACGUGCACCUGUAGAUGAUUGAGGACAACCAGCUGAAGUUCUUUUCCAGCACCACAA